rnacentral:rRNA from 1 species
UACGGAGGAUGCAAGCGUUAUCCGGAAUUAUUGGGCGUAAAGCGUCCGCAGGCGGUUGAACAAGUCUGCUGUUAAAGCGCGGAGCUUAACUCCGUAAGGGCGGUGGAAACUGUUUAACUAGAGUACGGUAGGGGUAGCGGGAAUUCCCGGUGUAGCGGUGAAAUGCGUAGAUAUCGGGAAGAACACCAGCGGCGAAAGCGCGCUACUGGGCCGUAACUGACACUCAUGGACGAAAGCUAGGGGAGCGAAAGGG